AUAUAUAUGUGUGUAUAUGUUGUUUUGAUAAAGGAAGUUUCAGUACCUGUUCUUGUUUUGGGUUGUUCAUUUCAUAUUAUCUUCAUUUGAUAGUCACAAUAUUAAUUACAAAAAUAGCUGAAACAUCUGGCCACGUCAUGCUGGUAAUUUUUUUGUGUAUAAUUAUCAGAAGUGACACUAUAUAUAAUUUUGUCUAGGAUUUAACAAAAUACAAGCACAGAGUGAAUCUAGGAAGAGAGAAAUCUAGCUAUAGUUGAAGAGGAAGAAGAUGAGAGUGGCAGUGAUAGGUGGAGGUUUUAGUGGGCUGGUUUCAGCUUAUAUUCUUGCCAAAAAUGGUAUUCAAGUGGUUUUGUACGAGAAGGAAGAUUACUUGGGAGGCCAUUCCAAGACUGUAACCAUUGAUGGUUUUGAUUUGGACCUUGGUUUCAUGGUCUUCAACACUGUAACAUAUCCAAAUAUGAUAGAGUUGUUUGAGAAGCUUGGAGUUGGAAUAGAGACUUCAGAAAUGUCAUUCGCAGUGAGUUUGGACAGAGGAAGAGGCUGUGAAUGGGGCAGCAGAAAUGGUUUGUCAAGUCUGUUUGCGCAGAAGAAGAACCUCUUUAAUCCUUACUUUUGGCAAAUGCUGAAAGAAAUUUUCGAGUUCAGGGAUGAUGCUUUCAGUUACCUUGAGGAGCUAGAGAACAACCCGGAUGUUGAUCACAAUGAAACAUUGGGACAGUUUGUCAAGUCUUAUGGUUACUCAGAAUUGUUCCAGAAAGCUUAUCUUGUUCCAAUUUGCAGUUCAGCCUGGCCAUGCCCUGCAAUAGAGGUUAUGAGCUUUUCUGCUCGUUCUGUUCUUUCAUUUUGCCUAAAUAAUCAUCUACUUCAGAUUUUUGGACGCCCUAAAUGGCUUACAAUUAAAGGGAAAUCACAUUAUUACCUGAAUAAGGUAAGAGAAGAGUUGGAGAGCAGAGGAUGUCAGAUAAGAACUCGUUGUGAGGUACAGAAGAUUUCAACAAAUGAUGAGGGAUGCAUAGUUCUCUCUGGAGAUGGAUCGGAAGAAGUUUAUAGGAGAUGCAUAUUGGCUCUCCAUGCCCCUGAUGCUGUUAAAAUAUUAGCAGACCAAGUUACUCCUGAAGAACUAAGAGUCCUCGGUGCUUUCCAAUAUUUCUAUAGCGAUAUUUUCCUUCACCGUGACAAAAAUUUAAUGCCUCAAAACCAAGCUGCAUGGAGCGCAUGGAAUUUCGUAGGAAGUACAGAUGAAAAAAUAUGCUUAACAUACUGGCUCAAUGUGCUUCAGAAUAUUGGUGAUACAAGUCUCCCAUUCUUUGUGACUUUCAAUCCAGAACAUCCACCAAAACAUACCUUGUUUAGGUGGUCAACUGGCCAUCCAGUUCCAUCUGUUGCUGCAUCAAAAGCUUUGCUUGAGCUGCAUCAUAUCCAAGGCAAGAGAGGAAUUUGGUUUUGCGGAGCAUAUGGGGGCUAUGGCUUCAGUGAAGAUGCAUUGAAGGCUGGAAUUGCUUCUGCUAAUGGAAUUCUAGGAAAAAGUUUUUCCCUUCUGAGUAGCCCAAAACACAUGGUACCCUCACUGGUAGAAACAGGAGCAUGCCGAUUUGUUACUAGAUUUCUUCGAGAUUAUAUCUCCAAUGGAUGUUUGGUUUUAUUGGAGGAAGGAGGCACAAUUUUCAACUUUGGGAAAACCACAACAAGAUGUUCUCUUAAGACUGUUCUGACAGUUCACAAUCCACAGUUUUACUGGAAAGUUAUGACACAAGCAGAUUUAGGCUUAGCAGAUGCAUAUGUCAAUGGUGAUUGCUCUUUGGUUGAUAAAGACGAAGGUCUUCUACACCUUUUUGAGAUUUUUAUUGCCAACAGAGAUGCAAAUCGUUCUGUCUCAAAUGUAAACAAGAAAAGCCUGAGGGGUUGGUGGACACCGUUGUUAUUCACAGCUAGUAUAUCAUCAGCCAAAUUCUUCUUUCAGCAUGUUUGUAGGCAAAAUACACUUACACAAGCUCGAAGGAACAUCUCUCGUCACUAUGACCUGAGUAAUGAACUUUUUGCUCUGUUCUUGGGUGAAACAAUGCAAUACUCCUCUGCCAUAUUCAAGUCAAAAGAUGAAGACUUGAACUCUGCACAACUGAGAAAAGUGUCUGUUCUCAUUGAAAAAGCUAGAAUUUGUAAGAAGCAUGAAGUUCUUGAUAUUGGGUGUGGUUGGGGAUUCUUUGCUAUCCAACUUGUCAAAUAAACCGGAUGCAAGUACACAGGAAUCACUCUGUCGGACGAGCAACUAAAAUUUGCACAAAAGAAAGUUGCAGAUGCUGGUCUUCAGGACCACAUCAAAUUUCUUCUUUGUGACUAUCGCCAAUUGCCCAGUACAUCCAAAUUCGAUAGAAUCAUAUCUUGUGAGAUGUUAGAACAUGUUGGCCAUGGUAAAAUGGAUGAAUUCUUUGGUUGCUGUGAAUCUGUACUAGCAGAAGAUGGGAUUUUCGUUCUACAGUUCAAAGCCAUACCAGAUGAACGUUACGAGGAAUACAGACAAAGUUCAGAUUUCAUCAAAGAGUAUAUAUUCCCUGGAGCAUGUUUACCUUCAUUAAGUAGGGUAACAUCAGCUAUGGCUACUUCAUCAAGAUUUUGUGUGGAGCACCUGGAAAAUAUUGGACCUCAUUACUACACAACUCUGAGACUUUGGAGGAAAAAUUUCUUGGAGAAUCAAAGUGAAAUCGUUGCUUUGGGAUUCGAUGAAAAAUUCAUUCGGACAUGGGAAUAUUACUUCGAUUAUUGUGCAGCAGGUUUCAAGACACAUACACUUAACGAUUACCAGUAUAAUCUAUUUGUAUCAUGUUAUGACACAAGCAGAGUUAGGCUUUGCAGAUGCAUAUGUCAAUGGAGAUUGCUCAUUUGUUAUGAAGAUGAAGGCCUUCUAAACUUUUUUAGAACUAGUGAACUUUUUGCUUUCUUGUUGGGUGAAACAAUGCAAUACUUCUGUGCUAUAUUUAAGACAAAAGAUGAAGACUAGAAGUCUGCACAAAAGAGAAAGAUCUCCAUUCUCAUCGAAAAAGCUAGAAUUGAAAAGAAGCAUGAAGCUCUUGAGAUUGGUUUUGGCUGGGGAAUUUUUGCUAUUGAACUCGUCAAACAAACUGGAUGCAAGUACACCGGCAUCACUUUGUCAGAGGAGCAACUGCAUUUUGCACAAAAGAAAGUUGCAGAAGCUGGUCUUCAGGACAACAUCAAAUUUCUUCUUUGCGACUAUUGCCAAUUUCCCAAUAACUCUAAAUACGACAGAAUCAUAUCAGUUGAGGUGCUAUAACAUAUUGGCCAUGAAUAUGUCGAUGAUUACUUUGGUUGCUUUGAAUCUGUACUAGCAGAAGAUGGGAUUGUUGUUCGACAGGUAAUCUUUCAUAUGGAUCUUUAUUUGGUUCUAGUUAUUGUUCAAGUCAAGGUUGUCACAAAAUACUGGCAUAGUUAUGUUGCUGACUUUUUUUCUUUUUCAAUUUCUUUUAAUUCGUUCAUAGCGAUGCCAGAUGAACGCUACGAGGAGUACAGGCAAAGUUCAGAUUUCAUCAAAGAGUAUAUUUUUCCUGGAGCAUGUGUAGCUUCAUUAAGUAGAGUAACAUCAGCCAUGGCUGCUUCAUCAAGACUCCGUGAAAGCCUAGUUCAUGGAUUCAACGAAAAAUUCAUACCGACAUGGGAAUAUUAUUUUGAUUAUAGUGCAGCAGGUUUCGAGACACAUACACUAAACGAUUACCAGAUGGUGUUUUCAAGCCCUGGCAAUGCCAAUGUAAAUGUUGCUGCAUUUAACGAUCCAUGA